GGGCGCUGUGGGAGUGGAGAAGCUGCAAGUGCUGAGGCGCGGUGGAGGAAAGCAUGGGAGCCAAGAGUAUGAGGAGCUGGUGUCUGUGUCAGAUUUGUAGCUGCGGCCCCUGAGACUCCCAAUCAAGGAUGCAAAGUAAAAUGCCACCCGGGCCAGCUUUCUGUCCUCCCAGCCAGACCAUAUUCCCAUUCCCGUCCAGGCAGCAGUUCUUUGGGAUCCGCCUGACUGAAAAGUCAACCAGGACUGACAAGGGAGCCACUGCCUCUGCCAUAAUCAGAAAAUUGCAACAGAGCUGUAGACUCCAGAAUCACUCGUCUCUUCCAAGGUCAAGAAGCUGCCAAGUUAGGAAACCAGCUUGCAAAUCAAGAUGCCGCCUAACAACUUCUAGCUCCGAUCUCUUGUUGCCUCUAUUAUGUUCCAUGCAAGCAAAAUUAAUGUUGUGCCU
rnacentral:sRNA from 1 species